rnacentral:lncRNA from 1 species
CUGUGUUCUUGGCUUUAGGGUUUGCUUUCUAUGUCUUCUUUGCUCCCUUUGUUGGGAAGAAGAUACAUCAGUACAUUGCGAUGGGCAUUUACACUCCCCUGGUAAGUUGAAUUGGAUGAUAUCAAAUAUGCUUUAAAUAAAGAUCAAAAUUGUGUACUUGUUGGCUGUUUAUGUGGUCUUUACUUUGUUGGCUAUCUCUGUUUGGGUAAUGCUUAUCUUUUGUGAAGUACAUAGACCAUUGAUUGGUUCCACAAUCUAACCAGUCUUGUGCGAUUUGUUACUUAUAGCUAAUUAGGGAAACUGGAUUUACCUGGAAUUUUUAGUUGGAUCUUGAUCUGGUCCCCGUCAUGAUAUUAGAAGCUUCGUUGAUUCAUGAGAACAGCUCUAGAUACUUCUUAUUUCCGAGCAAAUUGUGGAGGAUAUGGUUGAAACUUCGAUCUCAAAUUUGUGGAUUUUUCAUUUCUUCUUGUAACUUGAUUGAUUUUGCUUUCAUUUGAAGCUACACUUGAGACCUUAGUCUUUGAGAUUGUGUACACCUUAAGUCUUUGACAAUUGUAUUUUACCUUUUUGCUUUUGUGAAUAGUUU